AAGUGGGUAUGUGUAUUUAGCCCAUAUGCGCAGUGUGUAAUUAAACAUAAAAGUGCCAUUGAACAUGUUUGGCUGAGUGUUGGGAAAUUUCUCAAGCCCCAAAGGUUGAAGUGGAUUGGCUGUGUGUGGGUAUAUAUAGGGUCUAUCAGUCCAUCUCGCAGUCAAAGUAGAUGACUGUGUUUUACCUGAAGCAUUCAUUUUCAGCUGUUCUUGUCAAGACGAAAAGGGAGAAAAUGGGGCCACUGCUGCUUUUAGUCUGCAUGCUGGGAGCAACGCUCGCAGCUCCUGUCCCGGAAAGUGGAAGCAAUGAGAUGGGUGACGCACCUGCUGCAGACCUUCCCGCUCCUCCGGUCAGUGAUGACUCAGAGGAAGAGGAGGAAAAAGCCGCCGCAGCCCCCAAAGCAGCCGCCGCCGCCCCGCUGAACUCGGAGGAGGCUGGCGAGGACGGAGCCGAGGAGGAGGAAGCGGCAGAGGCGGCCGAAGAGGAACCCGCGGCCGAGGCAGAACCUGCGGCCGAACCCGCGGCCGAAGGGGCUACUGAAGCUGUUGCCGAGCCUGCUGCCGAAGCUGCCGCUGUCGACCCGGCCGUAGUGGAGGCCCCUGCUGCGGAGGUAGUCCCAGCCGACGCCACUCCCGUGGUGGAGGCGGCCGCGGUGGAGGCUCCAGCGGUGGAGGCUCCCGCGGUGGAGGCUGCAGCGGUGGAGGUUCCCGCCGCGGAGGCUGCCGCGGUCGAGGCUCAAGUGGUCGAGGCUGCAGCGGUGGAGGCUGCCGUGGUAGCGGUGGAAGCGGUGCCAGAGCUGGUGGUACUAGCGGGUCCCGUGGAGGUCCAGGCUGGGACAGCGUAAUCGCCCCAGUUUGUCACCUCAAUUUCUCUCCUACUGACCUGAGUAUUAUGUCUCAGUAGGCCUAGGUCAUGUUAAUGACGGCGGCAGAUUUUUUGUCAUUUUGCCGGAUCAUUGGACAGAUCACAGGCCGCAUAUGGUCAGCCCAGACUGAUGUUAUUUUUCUUAUGUCAUUUACUUGAUGAUGUUUGUGAUGAUCUGUGAAAAUAAAUAUGUGGUGGUUGAAUGCAUCCACUCAUCAGGUUUAUUGUAUUACACUUAAAACGGAUCAAAUUGAUUAAAAGGUAACCAUUUACAAUAAGGGUACAAUAAUGAACUAUCAAUCUAAAUUAGUUAAUGCGAUUAUAAGCAUUAUCUAACAAUAACAAGAAGAUAAUUAACUUCUUAACGAAUAAUGGUGUAGUAGUCAUUACUUGUUAACUAAGUCAGUUUUUGAUUUAUACUUUUUCUAAUAGCACACAAAUUAAUAUAUUUGUUGUAUUAUAUUGAAUGAUUACUAGACCAUAAAUUAACUGUAAAUAAGCCCUUAGUUCACAUCACUCAUGGUUAACCUCUUUACCCUUAUUGUAAAGUGUUACCGAAUAACAGAUUACUACAGUUGAUCUUUUAGCAAUCCUUAAACAAUCAUAUUUCCAUAUCAAACCUAUAGUUAACCUAUCAUAAAAUAUAUACUAUAGCCUACAUUGCAUUUCCGUUAUUAGUCGUCGGCUCUGCUGUUUGGAUGCGAAUUGUCCAUCACCCACAGAACACUGCAGCCAAAGGAUCUUCCCAUGGGAUCGCAGAUUCAUCUAACAUGCAGUAGAUGUAGGCUACCAUUGUAACAAUCAAGCUCAGAUCUACAGAUGGGAUGGUUCGGAC
ensembl:lncRNA